UUCCGGUUGAUCCCGCCGGAGGCCAUUGCUAUCGGAGUCCGAUUUAGCCAUGCUAGUCGAGCGAGGUUAGCCCUCGCGGCGAACAGCUCAGUAACACGUGGCCAAGCUACCCUGCAGAGGGGGACAGCGUCGGGAAACUGACGGGAAUCCCCCAUACCGGUCUCACGCUGGAAUGCCGAGACCGACAAACGCUCCGGCGCUGCAGGAUGCGGCUGCGGCCGAUUAGGUUGUCGGUGGGGUAACGGCCCACCGAGCCGAUAAUUGGUACGGGGUGUGAGAGCACGAGCCCGGAGACGGAAUCUGAGACAAGAUUCCGGGCCCUACGGGGCGCAGCAGGCGCGAAACCUUUACACUGCACGAACGUGCGAUAAGGGGACUCCGAGUGCGAGGGCAUACAGUCCUCGCUAUUGUGUACCGUAGGGUGGUACACGACCAAGAGCUGGGCAAGACCGGUGCCAGCCGCCGCGGUAAUACCGGCAGCUCGAGUGAUGGCCGAUUUUAUUGGGCCUAAAGCGUCCGUAGCUGGCCCUGCAAGUCCGUCGGGAAAUCCACUCGCCUAACGAGUGGGCGUCCGGCGGAAACUCCAGGGCUUGGGACCGGAAGACUUGAGGGGUACGUCCGGGGUAGGAGUGAAAUCCUG
rnacentral:rRNA from 1 species